GACGAACGCUGGCGGCGUGCUUAACACAUGCAAGUCGAACGGAAAGGCCCUGCUUUUGUGGGGUGCUCGAGUGGCGAACGGGUGAGUAACACGUGAGUAACCUGCCCUUGACUUUGGGAUAACUUCAGGAAACUGGGGCUAAUACCGGAUAGGAGCUCCUGCUGCAUGGUGGGGGUUGGAAAGUUUCGGCGGUUGGGGAUGGACUCGCGGCUUAUCAGCUUGUUGGUGGGGUAGUGGCUUACCAAGGCUUUGACGGGUGGCCGGCCUGAGAGGGUGACCGGCCACAUUGGGACGGAGAUCCGGCCCAGACUCCUACGGGAGGCAGCAGUGGGGAAUAUUGCACAAUGGGCGGAAGCCUGAUGCAGCAACGCCGCGUGCGGGAUGACGGCCUUCGGGUUGUAAACCGCUUUCGCCUGUGACGAAGCGUGAGUGACGGUAAUGGGUAAAGAAGCACCGGCUAACUACGUG
rnacentral:rRNA from 1 species